GGUGUCAAUGGCACAGGAGAGCUGGUGAGCUGACCAACUUAGCUUCCAUCCAGACCAACUGGAGUGUCUCCUUCCUGAGCAUUCAGCCUACAAUCCCAAGGGACUGAGUUGGCUCCAGUGCAGUAUACAUGGAAGUGGUACUUGCUCUUUGGGGCUUGGCCUCAGAACUAUCCUGGAGACUUGAAGUUCUUGUCGUACAGAUCUUUCUCUUGCUUGGUUCGAGUCACACUAAGGUUAUUCGUAUUGGAGGCUGAAGAGAUGGCUCAGAAGUUUAAAGAGCACUGACUGCUCUUCCAGAGGUCCUGAGUUCAAUUCCCAGCAACCACAUAGUGGCUCACAACCAUCUGUAAUGGGGUCCAAUGCCCUCUUCUGGUGUCUGAAGACAGCUACAGUGUACUCAUAAGUAUAAAACAAAUAAAUCUUUUUUUUUAAAAAAG
rnacentral:lncRNA from 1 species